rnacentral:rRNA from 1 species
AUUGAACGCUGGCGGCAUGCCUUACACAUGCGAGUCGAACGGUAACGGGCCUUCGGGUGCCGACGAAUGGCGAACGGGUGAGUAAUACAUCGGAACGUGCCCGAUCGUGGGGGAUAACGAGGCGAAAGCUUUGCUAAUACCGCAUACGAUCUACGGAUGAAAGCAGGGGACCGCAAGGCCUUGCGCGGACGGAGCGGCCGAUGGCAGACUAGGUAGUUGGUGGGAUAAAAGCUUACCAAGCCGACGAUCUGUAGCUGGUCUGAGAGGAUGAUCAGCCACACUGGGACUGAGACACGGCCCAGACUCCUACGGGAGGCAGCAGUGGGGAAUUUUGGGCAAUGGGCGCAAGCCUGAUCCAGCCACGCCGCGUGCAGGAUGAAGGCCUUCGGGUUGUAAACUGCUUUUGUACGGAACGAAAAGCCUUCUUUUAAUACAGGAGGGUCAUGACGGUACCGGAAGAAUAAGCACCGGCUAACUACGUG